rnacentral:lncRNA from 1 species
UUAAUUUGAAUUUUUGGAAUAGGUGUUGGCGGUGUCGGAUAAAUUGCAUUUGUAGGAUACGGAGGCAGACCAUGGAGAAGUGGAUGACAUGACCAAAGUAACUUCCUCGAAUGAGCUGGGUGUUGUUAAUCUGCAAAGAACAUAUACUCUCAAUGAAAUUUAUGUGAGCUCCUUAAGAAUUAUGUUCAUUAUUUAAAUUUGGAAGUGUAGUUGAAUUGAUUACAUUAAUUAGCUUUUGCAUCUAUAUGUUUGAAAGUAAGCUAAGCUUGUCAGAAUGAAAAAACAAAUCAGUCAUUAAAUUUGUACAUUCUGCUAAAUUCAGUUAAAUGUUUUCUUAAUGAGAUACGGAAAGUUUAAUUGCAUUAUUACAAGGUUUGAUAGGAUCUCUAGGUAGGUUAAUAUUGACUAAAACUUUAGAUUUCGAUGUAGCAAGAUUAACUCACAUUGUAGGUUAAGAGCUAUUUGGAGGAUGCUACGGCCCCUACAUGAUCUUGUAAGUAACUUUCAAUGGUGGUGUGAGGUUUUAUCUAAUAAAAAGGGAAAAUUGCCACCAGAAAUGAAGAAUUUCAUGAAUUUUGAUUCAAUUCUGAUUCUACAGUGAGAGAUGAAGGUUUGCUGUAUAUUGAAAAUAGAGAGCUGAAAAGAACUUUAGGAUCUUGUCACAAAAUCAUGGAGUAAAGGAGAAAUAGGUAACACAUUUGAUCGGCAGUUCGUGAGGUUAUAAUUAGAAACAAUUGAGAAGGAAAAUGAACUUUUGUGGUUACUAAAUAUAAAUGUUCUAGAGCUUUAGGAUUUUUUCAAUGUAUAUUAACACAUUGGAGAAGAAGUAAAUGUUGUGUGAAUAGUGUCCUGUGGAAGUUGGAAAAGGAAAAUAUAUGAGGAUUCUUUGUUGUGUCAUAACCAAAUUGCAUGUCUUGAUUAUGAGCUACUUAACAUGUAUGAUCCUCCCAUGCAUUGCAAUUGCAUCCCUCUGUGUACAUCUAUUUACACAUAAGGAUUUCACGAUACAAAUC